AUAAUGAUACUUCCCUAUGGGGCUGGCGGAGUACCCGGCAGAGGUGAGAUUCCUAUGA
rfam:Firmicutes bacterium CAG:272 genomic scaffold, scf103